CCUACGGGAGGCUGCAGUGGGGAAUAUUGCACAAUGGGGGAAACCCUGAUGCAGCGACGCCGCGUGAGUGAAGAAGUAACUCGUUAUGUAAAGCUCUAUUAGCAGGGAAGUAAAUGACGGUACCUGAGCAAGAAGUCCUGUCUACCUACGUGCCAGCAGCCGUGGUAAUACGUAGGGGGCAAGAGGUAUCCGGAUUUACUGGGUGUAAUGGGAGCGUAGACGGCAGUGAAAGUCUGGAGUGAAAGGCGGGGGCUCAAUCCCCGGACUGCUCUGGAAACUGUACGGCUGGAGUGCGGGAGAGGUAAGUGGAAUUCCUAGUGUAGCGGUGAAAUGCGGAGAUAUGAGGAGGAACACCAGGGGCGAAGGCGGCUUACUGGACUGUAACUGACGUUGAGGCUCGAAAGCGUGGGGAGCAAACAGGAUUAGAUACCCCUGUAGUC
rnacentral:rRNA from 1 species